rnacentral:rRNA from 1 species
UACGUAGGGUGCAAGCGUUGUCCGGAAUCAUUGGGCGUAAAGCGCGCGUAGGUGGCUUCGUAAGUCCGUUGUGAAAGUCAAAGGCUCAACCUUUGAAAGCCGAUGGAUACUGCGGAGCUAGAGUACGGAAGAGGCGAGUGGAAUUCCUGGUGUAGCGGUGGAAUGCGCAGAUAUCAGGAGGAACACCGGUGGCGAAGGCGGGUCUCUGGGCCGAUACUGACGCUGAGGAGCGAAAGCGUGGGGAGCGAACAGG